GUCCGAGUUGUAAUUUGUAGAGGAUGCUUUGGGCGCGGCGCCUUCCGAGUUCCCUGGAACGGGACGCCAGAGAGGGUGAGAGCCCCGUACGGUUGGACGCCUAGCCUAUGUAUAGCUCCUUCGACGAGUCGAGUAGUUUGGGAAUGCUGCUCUAAAUGGGAGGUAAAUUUCUUCUAAAGCUAAAUACCGGCCAGAGACCGAUAGCGCACAAGUAGAGUGAUCGAAAGAUGAAAAGCACUUUGAAAAGAGGGUUAAAUAGCACGUGAAAUUGUUGAAAGGGAAGCGUUUGCGACCAGACCUUUUCCGGGGGGAUCAUCCGGUGUUCUCACCGGUGCACUCCCCUCGGUUUAGGCCAGCAUCGGUUUCCKYAGGGGGAUAAAGGCCUGGGGAACGUAGCUCCUUCGGGAGUGUUAUAGCCCCUCGCGUAAUACCCCUCGGGGGACCGAGGACCGCG
rnacentral:rRNA from 1 species